CGCCAGGUGAAGAAGGACGUGUUUGCUUCCCCUAAUGCCAUGAUUGGCACAGUAAGAAGGCAGCCUCCUGCGAACCAGGAAGAGGGGCCUCACCAUGAACCAAGUUGUCUGGCACCAUGAUCUCAGACUUCCAGCCUCCAGAACGGGCUUGGGGGACAGCCUCUCCUGUCAUCUCCAGUGAAAUGCACUCUGAGAAUGCAAGACAAGUCACUCCCAAAAACGGAAUCACAAAUGCGGUAUGCAAAUCGUCACAACAGAAUAUUUUCACAACCACAACAAAGUCCAUUAAUACUCAAGAUGCCACAGCUGUUCAGAUUGCAACUGUCACCCUAUACUUUUCGUUUUGAAAGUUGAAUUCAUCAGAGCAACCUCACUGUCCUCACUGACUGACCUUAUAACUGGUAAAUGUUGUCAGUUUAAAGUCAUAAGAUAAAUGUGAGAAUAAACCAUCACUUCUCUGUUUUGUAUAUUGGAGCAGGGUGGUUUAGCUAUGUAAAAAUUUUAUUUUUGAAAAGACUUCAUUUUGCAGAUGGGAAAACAAACCCAAAGAGAGGUGAGUGUAUCACACUGUCCUGUGAGUAUCAUCCCUUCUCAAUAGGCAGAAACCAGGUGCCCAGCACAUAGCAGACACUCCACAAAUGCCCUAGGGAAGGAAGAACCGCUCCCAGGCACCACAGCCAGGAAGGGGGCAUGCCUCGAACACACGCCUCCCUACUCCCAGCCCACUGCUGGUUUUCAGACUCUGCCGCCUUCCCUCCUUUCCUAGAAAUGACAAUACAGCCCACACUCAGCAUCACAAGGAGGGAGAGAGGGCAAGGCAAGUGCAGUAUAAGAGCCAGGGUGCCUUCCCUCUUCCUCAAGAAAAUACUAGAAGCCAAGCACACCCUCCACCCUGAGCGCCAGUGUGGGAUGGGUGCUAUAUGGACGGGAAGAGCUGCUGUCUGCACUCUAGGAAACAAGGGUCCCCCGCGCUCACCUGUAGAUUCAGCAAGAGAGCAGGGGUGAUUGUGCCUAUCGAAGGGAAGCAACCAAUUGUCAACUAUUUUAGAAACAGCCAAACAGAAUGCAUAACUACAGGAUAAGUGGAGUGAUGGUUAAUAUUGAGUGUCAACUCGAUUGGACAGAAGGAUAGAAAGUAUUGUUCCUGAGUGUGUCUGUGAGGAUCUUACCAAAGGAGAUUCACAUUUCAGUCAGUGGACUGGGAGAGGCAGACCUGCCCUCGGUGUGGGUGGGCACCAUCUCAUCAGCUGCCAGCACAGCUAGAAUAAAGAAGGCAGAAUUUGGAAAGAGCAGACUUGCUGAGUCUUCCGGCCUCCAUCUUUCUCCCGUGCUGGAUGCUUCCUCCCCUCGAACAUCAGACUCCAAGUUCUUCAGCGUUUGGCCUCUUGGACUUCCACCAGUGGUUUGCCAGGGCUCUCAGGCCUUGGGCCACUGACUGAAGGCUGCACUGUCAGCUUCCUUACUUUUGAGGUUUUGGGACUCGAACUGGCUUCCUUGCUCCUCAGCUUGCAGAUGGCCUAAUGUGGGGCUUCACCUUGUGAUCUUGUGAGUCAAUUAUCCCAAUAAACUUCCUUUCAUAUAUACAUCUAUCCUAUCAGUUCUGUCCCUCUCGAGAACCCUGACUAAUACAAGUGGGAACCAGCCCUGUCUGCCCUAGUUCUUAAACUGGAGAGUGUAUUGGAAUUGCUCCGAGGGCUCAUUAAAAGCCAGACCCCAG
rnacentral:lncRNA from 10 species